rnacentral:tRNA from 1 species
GCGUCGGUGUUGUAAUGUCGAAGACAUUCCUGCUCCACUAGCAGGUGGUGUGGGUUCGAGUCCCGUCUGGUGCU